CAUGUUCUCAAUCAUGUCUAUUUCUCUUUUAGACAUGCUUCAAAGAAGUGGAAAAACAGCAAAGCUGUUGAUGUGACCAGUGAAUCAGCUACGCUAAUCUCUGGUUGACAUGUUGGUGGUGGAGACUGUCUUUGUUGUUGCCUCAUACUGGGUUCUGCAGUAGUUGUGGAUUUCAUUUGUGAGAUCAGUGGCUGUGAUGACAUUUGGCUUUUGCUGAGUCCCAACUGAGUCAGUAUGUUCUCCAUUGCUAACGUUAAAAAAUGAAUUUCUUUAUGUACACAUGUGAAUGAAAAAUUAGCACCGAAAGUUGAAAAAUACAAAGUUUGGGGAAUUCAGUAACAAUCGCUUUGUUCAUCUUACUUGCAAGGUUCACUGUGUUGGUUGUAGUUCAUCACAAAGUCGAACAAACUACCUGGGGGGUUGGUGUUCAACUUCUCUUGGUCCUGAGCAAUAUUCAAUAAACUAUUUAUGGUUGUUUGGUCCAAUUCAGUUGCAUCUGCCAAUUGUUGUUGAGGUAUGAUUGUGUAUAAUGUUUGCCCACCGGCAGUAUUUCCUGAUGAGCCUUGAUCAUGUUGCUGGCCAUCAUUAUUUACUAAGAAAUGCAUAAAAUACUACAUUUAUAUAUAUCUCAUGUCAUCAGCAAAAGGCUGUUUAAUAAAAUGGAAAUAUCAUGUAAAGAUUUUAAGGAUUGUUAAAUGCUUUUAACCUGCUUGUAAAAGAUCAGUUACAAUCACUGCAUGCUGUGCCUGUGAUUGUAAAUUUUCACCAGAUAGUUUAGAUUGAAUCGUUUGGGGGGUUUCCAUGGAAACAUCUAGUGAAGACAAUAAUCAUUUUAAAAUAAAUACCAACAACAAAUACAUCAUAAAAAA